UUCAACAGUUAUGACUUAC
rnacentral:sRNA from 1 species